AAAGUCGUAACAAGGUUUCCGUAGGUGAACCUGCGGAAGGAUCAUUAAUGAAAAAAAGCUUCGGCUUUACCUUAAUGCCUAAACCCCCACCAGCAAUAAACCUUUUUUAGCUUUAAGAAGCUAAUAAAAGUGCUGGUGGAUUUUAUACAAACUCUUGUAUACUUUUAAGCUGUGUCUGUCUGAAAAUAUAUAAAAUGUUUUUUUAAAACUUUCAACAACGGAUCUCUUGGCUCCU
rnacentral:misc_RNA from 1 species